UACAGAGGGGGCAAGCGUUAUUCGGAAUUCUUGGGCGUAAAGGGCGCGUAGGCGGCCUGGCAAGUGGAAGGUGAAAUCCCUCGGCUUAACCGAGGAACUGCCCUCCAAACUGCUUGGCUUGAGUCCGGGAGAGGUGAGUGGAAUUCCCAGUGUAGCGGUGAAAUGCGUAGAUAUCGUAAGGAAGACCAGUGGCGAAGGCGGGUCUCUGGACAGUUCCUGACGCUGAGGCACGAAGGUCAGGGGAGCAAACGGG
rnacentral:rRNA from 1 species